rnacentral:rRNA from 1 species
CCUACGGGUGGCAGCAGUGGGGAAUAUUGGGCAAUGGGCGCAAGCCUGACCCAGCAACGCCGCGUGAAGGAAGAAGGCUUUCGGGUUGUAAACUUCUUUUCCCAGGGACGAAGCAAGUGACGGUACCUGAGGAAUAAGCCACGGCUAAAUACGUGCCAGCCGCCGCGGUAAUACGUAGGUGGCAAGCGUUAUACGGAUUCACUGGGUGUAAAGGGCGUGGAGGCGGGGACGUAAGUUAGAUGUGAAAGCCGCGGGCUCAACCGGUGGCCUGCAUUUGAAACUGGGUUUCUUGAGUACUGGAGAGGCAGGCGGAAUUCCUGGUGUAGCGGUGAAAUGCGUAGAUAUUAGGAGGAACACCAGUGGCGAAGGCGAUCUGCUGGACAGCAACUGACGCUGAGGCGCGAAAGCGUGGGGAGCAAACAGGAUUAGAUACCCUUGUAGUC